rnacentral:rRNA from 1 species
GACGAACGCUGGCGGCGUGCUUAACACAUGCAAGUCGAACGGGUCUGCCCUGUUUUUUGCGGGGUGGGUCAGUGGCGAACGGGUGAGUAACACGUGAGUAACCUGCCCCUCACUUCUGGAUAACCGCUUGAAAGGGUGGCUAAUACGGGGUGUUCUGGCUGUGCCGCAUGGUGUGGCUGGGAAAGAUUCACUUUUGUGGUGUUUUGGUGGGGGAUGGGCUCGCGGCCUAUCAGCUUGUUGGUGGGGUGAUGGCCUGCCAAGGCUUUGACGGGUAGCCGGCCUGGGAGGGUGGGCGGUCACACUGGGACUGAGAUACGGCCCAGACUCCUGCGGGAGGCAGCAGUGGGGGGUAUUGCACAAUGGGCGGAAGCCUGAUGCAGCGACGUCGCGUGAGGGAUGGAGGCCUUCGGGUUGUGAACCUCUUUCGCCGUUGAAGAAGGUCCUGCUCUUUGUGGUGGGGUUGACGGUAGCCGGGUUAUGAAGCGCCGGCUAACUACGUG